GGGCGUGUAACUCAGUGGUAGAGUGCUCGCUUUGCAUGAUGUUAGGAAUCGCUAACGGAUUGAAGUUUGCGAGAAGUCCAGGGUUCGACUCCCUGCUCGUCCA
rnacentral:tRNA from 1 species